rnacentral:rRNA from 1 species
UACGUAGGGGCCAAGCGUUGUCCGGAUUUAUUGGGCGUAAAGAGCUCGUAGGCGGUUUGUCGCGUCGGCCGUGAAAUCUCCACGCUUAACGUGGAGCGUGCGGUCGAUACGGGCAGACUUGAGUUCGGUAGGGGAGACUGGAAUUCCUGGUGUAGCGGUGAAAUGCGCAGAUAUCAGGAGGAACACCGGUGGCGAAGGCGGGUCUCUGGGCCGAUACUGACGCUGAGGAGCGAAAGCGUGGGGAGCGAACAGG